rnacentral:rRNA from 1 species
ACUGAAUAGAUACCCAGAUAGUCCACGCCGUAAACGAUGAUCACUCGCUGUUAGCGAUACACAGUUAGCGGCUAAGCAAAAGCAUUAAGUGAUCCACCUGGGGAGUACGGCCGCAAGGCUGAAACUCAAAGGAAUUGACGGGGGCCCGCACAAGCGGAGGAAACAUGUGGUUUAAUUCGAUGAUACGCGAGGAACCUUACCUGGGCUUAAAUGUAGAGUGCAUUCCCGAGAAAUCGGGAUUUCCUUCGGGACUUUCUGCAAGGUGCUGCAUGGUUGUCGUCAGCUCGUGCCGUGAGGUGUCGGGUUAAGUCCCAUAACGAGCGCAACCCUUAUCGUUAGUUGCCAGCGGGUAAUGCCGGGAACUCUAACGAAACUGCCGGUGUAAACCGAGAGGAAGGUGGGGAUGACGUCAAAUCAGCACGGCCCUUAUGUCCAGGGCUACACACGUGUUACAAUGGCCGGUACAGAGGGCAGCUACCUGGAGACAGGAUGCGAAUCUCGAAAGCCGGUCUCAGUUCGGAUCGGAGUCUGCAACUC